rnacentral:rRNA from 1 species
GAAGUAGGCGGCCACGUAAGUGGGGCGUGAAAUCCUUCGGCUCAACCGAAGACCUGCGCUCCAAACUGUGUGGCUUGAGUCCGGGAGGGGAGACGGGAAUUCCUGGUGUAGCGGUGAAAUGCGCAGAUAUCAGGAAGAACACCGGUGGCGAAGGCGCGUCUCUGGACCGGUACUGACGCUGAAUUCCGAAAGCGUGGGGAGCAAACA